AAUCAGAAGCCAUACUGCAGCUUGGUUCAGCUUCAAAACCCGAGGUAGAAGCGGUAUGGUUUUUUGGUAC
rnacentral:misc_RNA from 1 species